CCCCGGGCACACGAGGCCUCCACUGCGGUUGCGCGGCCGGUUUAAGAGCGUUCGGCUUCUACUGCGGUUGCGCAAAUUCGGCGCGCGCACUCCUGUCUGCUUACGAGGGCGCCUCCCUCCUGCUUUGGUCCCUUUGGGCGUCUGGGCAGCCUACGCUUUCCG
ensembl:misc_RNA